ensembl:lncRNA
AGCACAGGACUGCUGAUCUAAACCAUCUUGGAUAAAGCAAGAAACCAGAACUGCAGCAGUGAUGCAUUUUAUAUUGUUUAUACAAUGGGCCCAGAAAAUAGAUUUUGUUUCAUCCACAAUCUAAUCCGCCAAGGUGUCGAGGCCAGCUCUUUCCUAAUCCCUGAAACAAGCCAAAGGAAGGUCGUAUUAGAACGGUGCAAAGGAAAAAGAAAAGAAGAAAGUCGGUGUAUUUUGUUGUGUUUUCAAACCAUAGGUAGUGUUUUUAAUCAUGGACCCAGAGAUACUUCAAUUACUCAAGGAGGACAGUGGAAAAAUGCAUGUUAGCUUAAUAGACUGCUAUUUGUUUUAAAAUGUAAGGCAGGAAAGGGUGCUUAUUACUGAUGUUAAGAAUGUUGUACAAAUAUGCCAUCAAGAUGAAUUAUUUAGAUAAGAACAUCCAUCCAGUCUCCAUCACUGGAUGUCCCUUGGCCAAUUCAACCCUCAUUGUAAAAGUAGAUCGGUAGUCAGCUUCAAGAAGGGUAAUGAUGAAGAAUGAGAUGAGGAGUGUGAGGUUCUUUACCCAAUUAAAAGCAUGAACAACCUAAUUAGUAGGAAUAGUUGAGACUUAAUCUGAAUGGCAGUGACGAUGCUGGCACCAAAAUUCAGAAAGACAGUGCCAGAUGUAAAGUCGGGGUGGGGCAAAUCAGGUCAUUUUCACACCUUUCUUCCAAUUAAAACUAAUGAGAACCACCUUGGAGACAAUUUAAUUCAUGGAACAAAGGGUCGUGAAUGAAAUCUUUCUGUGCUAACAAUCAAGUCAAGAGUUCAAGGGAGUAGUCCAGUUAAGCUAUGAUGUGAUCCUUAUUAGCUACCUUCCCACCACCAUUACCAGAUUCUAUUGGAAUAUACAGUAAUUUAAUGCAUAAAGAAAGCCAUAUUAUUCUUGGGAAUGAUUCUUGCUGUAACACAUACUAUCCUUGUUGUCUCAAAAAGGAUAGUGCCUGUAAGAAGGGUGGCAGAUCUUAGACUUAAUUCAGAAUGGCUUCAUACAGAAACAAUAAGUGUUGUCUUCCAGAGAAAAAUUACCUUUCUAAUACUAGAAUUUCAAGAACUCAGGUACUGCAGAAAUGGCUGUUUCUGAGGCAGAAUUCAUUCUGAGCCCUCUUAAACUGAUGUGUUUCUGUCCAAUUUGUUUUGUCUUUUUUUUCUUUCUUACUGGAUAUUGAACAAACGAAAGGAGCUUCCAUUACCAGAAGGCUUUAAAUAGCCUGUACUUACCAGACCACCUUCCUUUAUUUCCUUAUCUAUGAUGUUGUGUCCAGAAAAUGUCCUAAAAUAGUUUGCACACAGUUUAAAAACAAUUGUGUGAAAAUAAUCAAACCCUCCAACGCCCAUGUACACUGUACAAGAUCAUCAGCUCCUAAAAGUGCUUACACUGUGCCUUGCAGGUCAUUGAAGGCGUUCAAAGUGCAAGGGGGAAGGGCCCUCUGAGCCUGGCCUGGGAAAAGCAUUGUGCUGGAUUCGACAGUCUUGACAAAGGGAUCUUUUCUACACCUCUCAAAAAUGUGCCAUAAGAAGAAACACAUCUCACCUCAGAAAUCCACACAGUUGUGAGGUGUGUGGUGCAUUUUAGAGAAAUGAAGUGUGCACAAAACCAUGUACAUAUUUUUACAAGGGAAUGUUGCGAAAUGAUAUAUAUGAACAAAUUUUGGUGAGGAAUUGCAUCAAGGAGCUAAAAUGUGUUAAUAAAUGCAAAUACUAAGGAAACCCA